rnacentral:rRNA from 1 species
UUGAAGCCCCAGUAAACGGCGGCCGUAACUAUAACGGUCCUAAGGUAGCGAAAUUCCUUGUCGGGUAAGUUCCGACCUGCACGAAUGGCGUAACGACUUCCCCACUGUCUCCAGGAUAUGCUCAGCGAAAUUGAAUUCUCCGUGAAGAUGCGGAGUACCCGCGGUUAGACGGAAAGACCCCGUGCACCUUUACUACAACUUCACACUGGCAUUAGGCCGAACAUGUGCAGGAUAGGUGGUGGGCUUUGAAGCGUGGACGCCAGUCUGCGUGGAGCCUCCCUUGAGAUACCACCCUUGUUCUGCUUGAUGUCUAACCGCGGUCCGUUAUCCGGAUCCGGGACCCUGUGUGGUGGGUAGUUUGACUGGGGCGGUCUCCUCCCAAAGAGUAACGGAGGAGCACGAAGGUACCCUAAGAGCGGUCGGAAAUCGCUCGUUUAGUGUAAUGGCAUAAGGGUGCUUGACUGCGAGACAGACACGUCGAGCAGGUACGAAAGUAGGUCAUAGUGAUCCGGUGGUUC